rnacentral:lncRNA from 1 species
UUUUCAAAUUGGAUGACACAUGUUGCAGCCAGAAUUUUAUCGAACGAAAAAUCUGCUCCACAGUUUCAUGAACACCUUCCAUUCUCGCUUUACAAUGUCUCAUCCAUAGCCUCCACGCUAGUAUAGUUGGAAGUAACCCUUGUAAGUACCCAACUUGUGAUUUUUUACCUGCAAUGGCCCACCAUAAAUUUACUCUAUCAUACCAGUUUUGUUUAGAUCUCCACCGAAUACCCAAAGCCACUGAAACUUUCCUCCAAACUUCAUUUUCCACCUCACCUGUACUAAGAACAUGGUUGGGUGUUUCUUCAUUUCCCGUAAGGCAGCAAUCACAACGAGAAGCUAAGGCUACACCCAUUUGCCGAACUCUACUAUCAACACUUAAAACUUUAGAAAAAGCCUUCC